rnacentral:rRNA from 1 species
UAGAGUUUGAUCCUGGCUCAGGACGAACGCUGGCGGCGUGCCUAAUACAUGCAAGUCGAGCGGACAGAUGGGAGCUUGCUCCCUGAUGUUAGCGGCGGACGGGUGAGUAACACGUGGGUAACCUGCCUGUAAGACUGGGAUAACUCCGGGAAACCGGGGCUAAUACCGGAUGCUUGUUUGAACCGCAUGGUUCAAACAUAAAAGGUGGCUUCGGCUACCACUUACAGAUGGACCCGCGGCGCAUUAGCUAGUUGGUGAGGUAACGGCUCACCAAGGCAACGAUGCGUAGCCGACCUGAGAGGGUGAUCGGCCACACUGGGACUGAGACACGGCCCAGACUCCUACGGGAGGCAGCAGUAGGGAAUCUUCCGCAAUGGACGAAAGUCUGACGGAGCAACGCCGCGUGAGUGAUGAAGGUUUUCGGAUCGUAAAGCUCUGUUGUUAGGGAAGAACAAGUACCGUUCGAAUAGGGCGGUACCUUGACGGUACCUAACCAGAAAGCCACGGCUAACUACGUGCCAGCAGCCGCGGUAAUACGUAGGUGGCAAGCGUUGUCCGGAAUUAUUGGGCGUAAAGGGCUCGCAGGCGGUUCCUUAAGUCUGAUGUGAAAGCCCCCGGCUCAACCGGGGAGGGCUGAACUGGGAACUUGAGUGCAGAAGAGGAGAGUGGAGCUAGAGAUGUGGAGGAACACCAGUGCGAAGGCGACUCCGUCUGUAACA